GUAUUUAAGCCUCGUCUUUCCCAGGACUUAUGCGCUUCCAUCUCUCUUGUCAUAUCAGAACUCCAUCAGUAUUUAACCCAGAUGCUGUUAUAUCAGAACUCUGAUUGACUUUUCAAUCUUUGUUCCAUCAGUAUUUAACCCAGAUGCUGUUAUAUCAGAACUCCAUCUCUCUUAUAUUUCUCCUCUGGUUUACUCCCUCUCCUUCUCCUCUGGUUACUUUCCCUUGUCGACUUUUCAAUGUUAUAUCAGAACCCAGAUGCUUGGAUUAUAUCAGAACCCAGAUGUUCACCGAGACAUUGAUGGCUUGUCCGGCUGACCGGAUCUCCAGAGGGCAAAUCUCGCUCGGCACCAACCGCAACGGACCCCAAGACCAUGCAAAUGCUGCUACAUAUGCACAGAUCGAGAACAAGAUCCGAUUGGCUUCAGUUUUUGUAAAGGAGAAGGAGAGGGAGUAAACCUACAGUGCAUGUGUGGAACAAGAUCCGAUUGCCUAUCAUCACUCCAACGGCAACCUACAGUGCAUGUGUGGAAGUUUGUACCUGGCACAGGAGCAUCUGCACACCACCUUGAAGGAACAACACCCUUCUUCCGAACUUAUCGACUGCGAGAAUGGACACAAAGGUAGCAACCACGUUAACACCGCCGGUGAUGACUGCGGACAUUAGGGAUGCUUCGUCUCCAAACCCCAAGGUCAUGAAAAUAACUGGUGCGUAAAACAUGAUCACAUUGAUCCCGGUGAGCUGCUAGAAGAAUGGAACGAGAAUGCAAAUGACAAGUUGAGGCCUAUAUCUCGGCUCUGUGAUGUUGGUCCAUUGGUUUUCCACUUUUUGGGCAGCGUCAGUAGCAUCAAAAAGGUCUUGGAACUCCUCAUCAACGUUGUUGGUGCCACGGAUUUUUUUCACUAACUUUUGCUAUGGAUAAUUCUAGUGAGGAUCAAUGUUCUGAGGAACUUCAUUUGGAAGAGGAGGUGUUAGAAACUGGUUCUUUUUUUACUUAUUAUAAAUUUCAGUUUUUGUUUAGUGUUUAAACUAAUAUUAUUCUUAAAUUGAAAUUUUACAUUUGUUUCCUGUU